GACCCUACCGUCAUGGCCGUCAUCUUUACCUGUGAGCACAAAUUAGGAAAGAAAAUGACUUGACACUUGAAAAUCUUUUUAAUUUAUGGCGUUUCCGGAUGCAGCAAUGGAAGAGUUACCAACGUCAGAAAAUCUCUUCCAGCUGUGGAUGAUUUACUCUGCCAAGAAUGAUGUCCAUACGCUCAAAGAAUUUCUGGCACUUUUCAUCAAAUCAUACAAGAACUUGAUUGACUAUGAUUUUGACCACCUCGACGAAGUGUUUUCGGACGAAGGACCCCACAUGACCAGACUCCCAGAUGGCAUCCUCCAAGUGUUCCGAAACCACCUUUCACAGACGAGUGAACUCUUCGCACAACAGAAGGACCCGUCACAUCUCACACUUGCCAAGUCUAUUUUACAGUGCCUUAUUGUCAUAUGCAGAAAUUGUGACAAUGUGCCUAUGGUAGCGUCCUGUGGAUUUGUGAAAUAUAUUGUCAACAUCGGCAUGACAAUAAUUGAACAGAUGUCAUCUGACUUACCUGCUGCAGAAACAGAAGAGUUGUCCACCUUUGUGAGGCUUACCGUUCAUUUCUUCGAGUGUCUGUAUGAUCCAUUCUUCGUGUGGCGUCGGCGUAUUAGGGAGUGGACGGUGGACAGAAGUAGAAUCAAGUGCAGACCAGCAUCUCUCCAUGUGGAAGUUGUCCCAUAUUUCUACGAUUGUUGUGAACGUGGAAAUUUCAAUAUAGACCUAAAACUUCGACAGCUUCACAUGUUUGGGGCCAUCAUGUGUGGAGACCAGUCGAAUGCCCUGAAGGUGAUCACACCUGCUACCCUUGAUGUCCUGUUGAAGAUGCUGGCCUUUGACAAGAAACAGGGUCCAACUAACGAACAACGACAGGAGCUGCUCAGUCUGAAGGAUCUUGUUCUCAAGUCCAUCAUCUGUAUGGUGCACAUGAUACACGCGGCCAUACCUGAUCAGAGACAGGUCGAGGUUUCCCAGGUGAUGGAGGGCUACAUGCAGGUGUUACUGGAGAACGACAUGGAGCCAGAAGAUGAAAAUGAAACUCGUAUGCAGAUUGCCAUGAUUGGUGCCAUUAACGAGAUGUUGGCGUGUCAGGAUAAAAGUGCCCUACAGGUGAUCAUGGUUAGUGGCGGGACAUUUGAUGCGUUUGUAUCACUUCUACAAAAAACUGCCUUGACAGGAAGUGAGGCCCAGAAACUGGCCAUGUCUGUGCUGCGGGUGAUGAGUACGGUGCUGUCCGGCUCCGUCAAUGCCAAGGAGCGGUUUCAGCUGAGGGUGGGUUAUACAAAGUUUGUGGAGGCACUGAAGAGUCUUGGACAACCCUCCAUUGAGCUCCUCAGGGCCGUCUUAAAUCUGGUUGUGGAAGGAGAAUUUGAUGAGACAAAAGAACACAAUGUGCAAAAUACACAGGCAGCCGUUAUGUUGCUAUGCUGGUUGCCAGACAUCCAGUCACAUGACCUCCAAAUAUGGCUGUCAGAGAGUUUGAGCAAGCUCUGUGGAAAAGGUCAUAACAACAAGAUGAAUUGCUGUAAUGACGGAAUGAUCAGUGCCAUCUUAACUGUCCUAGGACGAGAGCGUCAGAUAAAUCAGAAAGCUGUCGGUCACUUAAUAAGCCUUCUUGAAUCUCUUGGGACUCAGUCUAUUACUGCGACAGAAUUAAAACAGCUGAUUGGUCUUCUAAGACUGGACGAAGAGGAGAAACAGAACCCGUACUGCAGCCGUCUGAUGCAUGCUAUAUCCACCAUGGCUCGUCGAGAGGGCAAGGAAGGAGCACUUCAUUUCUUCAACCUCCAGGAAACCACAGAUUGUAUAACGUUGCCGUCUUUCCGAAAAUGGCCUGGAGCUGGAUUCUCCUUCUUGACCUGGAUUUGCUUGGAUAGUACUGUGGACACUAAACUUCACAGCCUACAGGACGGCACCUCCUAUAGGAGGAUCCUUUAUAGCUUUGUGUCCAGUGCUGGAUGUGGAUUUGAGGCGUUUGUGACGCCUACCUUUGAUAUUGUGAUAGCUGUAUAUAACCGCAAAGAAUACUCAACUGUGAUAGUGACAGAAACUGGCCUCCACGACAAUCUCUGGCAUUGUAUAGCCGUAGUUCAUACCAGUUCUCGCCGACCGUUCACCAACAGUCAACUCAACGUCUACAUAGACGGACGACUCAAACUCAACUCCCAGCUGAAGUCUCCUAACAUGACAGAGGCAUUUACUUCUUGUCGUGUUGGAUCGCCCUGUCCUCGUUCAACCAUGAACUUGGUAAUCGACCAAUCAGCUCCUGCCACAGAUACCAAAACAAAAAAAUCUCCUCUGAAGUUCUUCUUUCCAAGCCAAUCAAAACCAAGUCCCUGUGAACCAGGGGUCAACUCAUUACUGACUGGAACACAGGACGAUGCGUGGGGUUCUCCCAUUCCCAUUCAUGGACAGCUCGGUCUCAUCUGCUUCUUUCAUGAUGCUUUACAUCCGAGUCAGAUAAAAGCGUUUUUUUCAGCAGGACCAAAUCAUCAGACGUUAUUUGCCAAUGAAGAAUUCUCCGAACUGAACGAUCUGGUCUCCAAGAUGGUUUUGCACUAUGAUGCCAAGGCCUCCAAGGAUGGACUGUGUGUAGACCUGUCUCAGAACCUGAAUCAUGGGCAGAUCAUCGGCCAGCGAUGUGUCACCUGGGACAUCAAGGAUGUGAUCAACUGCAUCGGUGGUAUCCAGGUCCUGAUCCCACUUCUGGAGCAGGUGAACAAGGGUCCCCUUCCUGGGGAGGCUAUCAUGUCCCCACCCCCCAGUCCAGGCGUCAUGUCACACUCCAGUUCACAGGAACAAGACGACUGGGUCGUUAUUCCAAGCAGUUCUUAUGCAGAUGCCAAACUUGAACAGAACCAGGUGUCAGGAUUUCUGACUUUGCUUCGUCACAUGGUUCAUACCAAGAGUAUGAACCAGGACACAUUCGUACGAACCGGGGCUGCCACCACUCUUGGUGCUCUCCUGCAGAAGGUCGACCCAAAACUGAUUGACGUCAACGUGUUGAUGGCUGUGCAGUUACUGGUAGAGACAACGAUGACCGUCAAUAAGAGUAUGGUCAAUCACCUGUACCAGCACAUCCUGUUUGACUUCAGGAUCUGGAGCAAGAGUGACUUCCCCGUACGGAUAGGACACAUCCAGUAUCUGUCCACAAUAAUCAAAGAUGACCGGAAGUAUUUCAGGAAGAAGUUUGGUGUACAGUACAUAUUGGAUGUCGUGAGAACUUACUACAGUUCCUGUGACAGUGGGUUAUCAGCGGUGGAUGCCAAGACGAUCCGAGGCUCCCUACUAAGUCUAGUCAAGUAUUAUAUGAUCAAAGACGUAACAGCAGAGGAAGUGUCCUCCAUCAUCUGUUUCCUAGUCACGGUCAAGGAAGAGGACUUGGUGUGUGAGGCACUGGACAUGCUGAUAUCACUACUGGACAUACAGAAACGUCAGGACCAGCUGUAUCUAUUGCUGUUUGAACCAGAUAUGGCCGAGCUGUUGCUGGGACUUCUUGUCAAGGGAGGAUACUCUGUCAUGUUUUAUGAGAAAAUCAUAAAGGUGCUGUAUACAAUUUUGAAGUCUGACAAAGUGUAUGAGAAGAGUAAAGUGCGUGUUCGCCUUAACGACUGUGGCCAUCUUGGAUUGGUUGGUAUGAUGCAGGACUGUGAAGCAUCGGGGCCAAUGAUGAAACGUUUUAUUGACCAAGUCGCAGUCACAGACUCACCACAUUGCUGUAACUCCUUGUUGGCGUUGUUACAGCUGAUUUAUUACAGCAGCUCCGACAUCAAACUCGAGGCCAGUCGUCAGAUAUUAGCCCUUCUGGUUGGUAAAGUAAAUGCUGCCAAAAACUUCUCCAAGCAACUGGGAUGGCAGGAAGCUCUUACAAAGCUCUUCAUCUUUCGUUCAACUGUCAAUCAGCCAGUCAACAACAAUCACGACAGUAUAGACGCAUCCGAAAACCCAGUUGGUAAGGCAACCACUGAAAACUCAUCUUCGGUUAAUAGCAGAGUUGGAGGAGUGAAAGAGGAUUCCCCUACACAGCUGUCAGUGAAUGGGACUCCAAAACACCCAUCAACGUUAAAUCUGAGUUCUAGCGACUUUUCUCUGACCCCCACGCCAAAUACUCCACGUACGCCCAUGUUCAUUUCACAACGACAAUUUGAAGACAUUGCGACCUCAGAGGAUGAAAGGCCAAGGUCAAUAAGUCGAAGUUCAAGUGCAAGUGCUGAAGAUUUAAAUACGCUAGGUCAGAGAUCGCAGGACCGAGCAGGAUCUGUUGUAAGCCAAUCAGCAUUAAGUAUUUCUACCAGUGACAGUUUUAUAAGUCUGACAGAUAAUACGGACGGUGUGCUAGACGAAUCUGGACAAAAAGCUCAGGAUGAGGUUCAGAAUAUACAGCAGGCAUUAGAUAACCUUGGAAUACAAAAGAUUUAUGUCCGGCACAAUAUCGAACGCGCUGAAGAACUCUCUCAGAAUCUGCUAAUCAUACUGCUCAGCAUAAUGUGGAAAGGUGUGGAGGGAUCGGACAAAGCUGCCUGGAAGGAGCGAGGGCAAGUCUUUUCCUGGAUUGACAGAAUUGCAGAGACACAUGAGCUGUUGCGGUCCCCGACAGAGUUGAAGCGCCGUCUACUCGAGAUGAUGCUUCAUUCCUGUACCUCAGAUAUUAGGGAUGCUGGUCAAGCUGUGGCUGGUCCGACAGAAAAUGCCAUCGAGCUUGUUCGACUGGUUCGACACUUCAUGCAGGCGGACAUGAACCUGUUGUCUCAUGCGGAUGAUAAAUUUACAGAAAGGGAGAGUUCAGAAGGCUCAUUUCUUAUUGAGGACACAAUGACGUUGCUGGACAUUCUCUCUGUGUGGGAUGUGGAAUCGGACGGUGGAUGGAAAGAGAUGGCUCGUCUCGGACUUAACCUCCUCAUACUCUUUGCCAAACACCCAAACCUGGAGCUGUGUGCUGUAGCCACGGCAAAGCUCCACAACCUCGUCCAGACAAAGCUCAUCUCCAGCUCCGCUGAGGCCUCGUACAUCAUCGGCAACCUUCAUAGCAUCAUCGUCAAGGCCGUCACAGAGAACACAGACAACUACUCUUUCUUGAUACCAGUACUGAAGGCCCUCAUUGACAAGGCUUAUGACCUUUUGAACCUUGACCUCCACUUGCCUAACUUGCCCCCAACUGCCAGAAGUCCGACAUUUUUCGAUGAUUUCAGGGCCUACUGUCUCACGGACGAAUGGACUGUCUUUGUAGAAAGCUAUGUGAAUCCUCAAAUGAACCACUUCGUUGAGAAUACAUUUGGCGACAUUGAGGUGGAGACCAAAGACUUCUGGAGCGAGUGUGAGGAAGCCAUGAUGGUAAACAUGCACAAACGGAAUCGUGAGAGAGGGGACAGCAAACUCAAGUUUCAGAGCCAGAUUAUGGAGCCUUUCAAAAGCAAAACCUCCCAUGAAAUACGUAGAUUUCAAAACAUCACUACGCAACUGCGAAAUCAACAACUUUCCACUCUCCGCCACUGGAGAGCUACGCGACUUUUUUUCACUGGAGAGCGAGGAGCUUGGGCAGACAGAAAUAUUGCUUCCAACCAAUGGAAACUGUCCAACCAGGAGAAUUUCUCUCGCAUGAAGGUGAAACUUGUCCCAAACCACAACUUUGACCUUCAUAUUGAGGCCGCCAUGUUGCGUGAUAAUCAAGGUGUUAGUGAGACAGAUGACUCUGAGCAACUGAAGCGUAUGAGUGUUGCUAAGGAGGCUCUGGUGUCCAAGGAAAAUAUUGCUGACGAUACGAUCACGGACGAGGAAUGGAAUGUCAUUAGUUCUCAAGGACCAAGUGAACACAAUGACAAAGAAAAACUUGUCCAUUCUGAAGAGUGUGAACUUGUGACCUUGGUAGAUGUCAUCAAAGGUCGUUUGGAGGUCACCACUACACAUGUGUACUUCUUCGACUGCAGCUCUAACAAGGAGGAAGGAGGCGAGGACUUCAAGUGGGCGGUGUCAAAACUGAGAGAAAUCCAUUUCCGUCGCUACAACCUGCGGCGCAGUGCCUUAGAAUUGUUCCUGGUUGACCAAACUAAUUACUUUCUUAACUUUCAGCCAAAGGUCCGAAACAAGGUGUAUAGCCGUAUCCUAAGUCUCCGUCCACCAAAUCUUAUCUACUUUGGAUCACGGUCUCCGGCCGAGCUGCUGAAGUCGUCUGGUCUUACACAAAAAUGGGUACAGAGGGAGAUUUCUAACUUUGACUACCUAAUACAGCUCAAUACCAUCGCAGGCAGGACUUACAACGACCUCAGCCAAUACCCUGUGUUUCCAUGGAUACUUAGUGACUAUACCUCAGAAACACUUGACUUGGACAAUCCAACUGUCUUCCGAGAUUUGUCAAAGCCUAUCGGAGCUGUGAACGCAAAGAGCACGGAGAACGUACGAGAAAAAUUUGAAACGUUUGAGGACCCUUCAGGAGUGAUUGAGAAGUUCCACUACGGCACUCACUACUCAAACGCGGCCGGCGUGAUGCAUUACAUGAUCCGAAUGGAACCGUUCACUGGAUUACAUAUACAGCUUCAGAGUGGCAGGUUUGACGUGGCUGACCGACAAUUUCACUCCGUAGUUGCUACAUGGUCAAGUCUGAUGGACAACCCAAAUGACGUCAAGGAGCUUAUCCCCGAGUUUUACUACCUCCCCGAUUUUCUAGUCAACAACAACGGCUUUGACCUGGGUCUUCUACAGAUAUCUAGGGAUCGUGUGGAUAAUGUGAUUCUACCAACCUGGGCCAAAUCUCCCGAGGAUUUCAUAUGGAAACACAAGCAGGCAUUGGAGUGUGAACAUGUGUCCAGUAACCUACAUAACUGGAUAGAUCUGAUCUUUGGGUACAAACAGAAGGGACCAGCAGCUGUAGAGGCCCUCAAUGUCUUCUACUACUGUACUUACGAAGGUGCUGUGGAUCUUGAUGCCAUCAAGGAUCCGCGUGAGAGGAAAGCAUUAGAAGGCAUGAUCAACAACUUCGGUCAGACACCAUGCCAACUGCUGAAGGAGUCCCAUCCUCGAAGGAUGAGCUUUGAUGAAAUGGUGGCCAAAUCAAUAAAGAUGGAUAAAGCUCUGAAUGUCUUCUUCUUCCUCAACCAACUCAAAGUUUUCUUUGUGGAGGUUUCCAUGGAAACGGAUCCCCUGGUCUACAUCAGCGUUCCUCGAAAUCAGGCUCGGUCAAUCAUACAGCAUGGCAUGCCAGACACCAUGGUGACUGUUUCCGAGGAGGGAAUUGUGGGAAUGCACGGCUGGCUGCCCUAUGAUAAAUCCAUCUCCAAUUAUUUCACCUUCGACAAGGACCCUGCUAUCGCAAACUCCAAGGUGAAGCGCAGAGUAGCAGGACCAUUUGCCCCCGGCGUGAAGGUUGAGGCAAAACUAUUUGUCGUAUCCCAUGAUGCAAAGCUGCUGUUUAGUGGGGGUCACUGGGACAACAGUUUACAGGUCUACCACCUGGGGAAGGGAAAAAAGAUCAACCAUGUUGUCAGACACAUAGAUAUUGUGACGUGUUUGGCCCUGGACUACUGUGGAAGUCACCUGAUCACUGGGUCACGUGACACAACUUGUAUGAUCUGGCAGAUACAGCAACAGGGAGGAGUGAGUAUAGGGAUAAACCCUAAUCCCCUCCAGACACUUUACGGCCACGACGCCGAGGUGACCGCUGUCCAUAUCUCAACUGAACUGGACAUGGCAGUGUCAGCAGCUAAAGAUGGAACAGUGAUUGUCCACACGGUUAGAAAAGGUCACUACAUGAGGACUCUUCGGCCGCCUUGCUUGACCGGCUACACUCUCAACAUACCUAUGGUUGUCGUGGACGAAACUGGCCAUAUAGCCUUGUACUGUCACGAAACAUUCCCUAUAGAUCCAAAGGAGAGGUUUUCGAUCCAUCUGUACUCUAUCAAUGGAAAGCACUUAUUUGCGGAAAAGUUGACCUACGGCCUCGGUCACAUGAUCGUGUCAGGUGAACACCUGAUAACCGGAGAUACUCAGGGUAACCUAAGUGUUAUGGAAAUCUUUGCCUUGAAGACCUUGAACUCACUACCACUCCACGUGCCGAUCCACUGCAUUGCCAUAACAACCAGCGGAAGUCACAUCUUGGUUGGUUUGCGGGACGGCAAACUCAUCAUCAUCGGUGUCAAGAACAAGUCUGACCUCAGUUCAGUUGACCUUUGAUGAUUUGAUUGACCUUGACCUAGUUAAUACUGUUACCGAAAAGGAAGCCACUGUUUGAUUUGUAGGUCACAAUACAAACACCCAGAAACAGGAUAUAUUUUUGAACCAUGUGAUCCCAGAUUUUCUGCUUUGAACCAGCACUUUCCACCUAUACCACAGAUGGGAAUAUUGGAAUCAACUUUAUGAUCUAUUAUCAUGAACUUUCACAUGAAAAACAUGUUUGCUCGUGUCUGUUUGUAAAACAAAUAAGGUUAUCAAGAUUCAUCAUGGGCCAAGAUUUUAAGAUUGUAAAAUUUAAAAAAAAAAAGUUUAAAAGUUAAUUUCUCUUUUAUGUGACAUGUACAUUUUCAUUACUGUCAUUGUAAGUGCCAUACAUCACGCAUAAAAUUUAAUGAACCUUUUUGGUUUCUGUGCUUCCACAUCUUUUUGACAUUAAUAAUGGAAACAAAAAUUGUAAAAUGCAUAAUGUAUUAACACAGGGUUAACCAGACAGAUAUGAAAGGGAAAGCUAUCUUUUGUCCGUAGGAACUAGCUCUGGGAGCCUGUUAGCCAUAUACAUUUUAUAGAACUACAAAUCAACAUGAAUACAUGUAGUUUGGGGAAAAAAACUUCUCCAAUUGUCUGGUUUGCACCAAGAUUUUAAAGAUAUUAUGUCUGUUUUGAGUUCAUUUUGAACUGUGUAAUAAUACUUUUGAUGCAUGAUUUGCCAAAAAGACGGUUUGUGAAAGAUGAAACCAUAUUUCAUAUUGUAAAUAUCUCAAAUAUGUUUACAUAGCAAAAACAUGAAAACAUACAAAAAUUUGGUUGUUGUAUUAUGAAUAGUUAAAAUACAUUGCCAUGAAUUUGUUAAUUAGUAAUAUUUAAGUGCAUAUGUAUGUUGAGUUUGUUUUAAUUUGUAGAUUUAAAACAAUUUGCAUUUUUUGUGAAUUUGUGCAAAAUUCAUCUCUAAAAUUGGAAGUUAAAGCAAUUUUAAAUUGGAAGUUGAAGCAAUUUUAGAACCAUCUUUACAAGUCUGAUUCAUUAUUAGUAGAAAUGACUAUUUUCAUUUAUAUUGUGUCACCUGUGUCGGGACAGAUUUUGUUACAUGUGUUUCAAAGUAAGUCGUUUUUAUCCCUAUGUGUGCCAAUUUUAUUCACCUGUUCCCGUAAAGCAUAAUUACAAGUAAGACUAAUUUGUUGAUAAGUAUGCUUGUUUGGUGUCUUAGAUUUUAAAGAUUGAGGAGUUGAAUUUAUCAGUGAACCAUAGCUUUUCGUUGUAAAUAUAUAUAUAUAUUUACCCGACUCUGGUGAAUUUUAUAAGCUUUUUGCUUCCUGUCGUCCUUGUUUUCUGCAGCCUUUUUUUUGUGUAAUUCUAACAGGUUCAAAAAAAGGGCAACUCAAUUAUCUAUUAAUGAGAUGGAUUAUUUAUUAAAUAACAGAGCUUCCUGUUUCUGAUUUACGACAAUUAUGCUCAUUUAUGCCGUCUGUAGAAUAUAAUACCGUACUCUCCUUGAUCUUAUGUUUGUAUAUUUGUGUAUAUUUUAGUUAAGUGUGUAAAUCUUCUCUCACUAGAAAUUUCUCUUGAACAACUAUUGUAAAAUAAUACUCUCCUCUAUCAUAUGU